UUUUUGCGAUGAAUCAAGUUGUCUUUAUUAAACAUGUGUCAUCUUUGUCUGUUGGUGGAUAAAUAUCUUAAAACUAGUAAUCCUCUAAAAUGUGCAAUCACUUCAAACAUAUUCUUCUGUGGGGAUCUUAUAAAAUUAUUAUUCUCCUUCAAGGUGUUUGUUCAAUAGGACAGUUGCUUUGAUAACUUUCCGUCCACGUCCAACGAUGGCAGGCUGGUUCGGGCGAGGGAGUGGCAUUCGGUGGCACGCCAUCAGCGCGCUUGAGGGGAUGAAGGCGGUCGACCACAUGGACUUUGAUGUAACUUUUUUUAUUUUAUAUGGGGUGUUUGUAGUACUGGUUCAAUUUAUUAAUCGAAGUGCUUUUCAUAAAAUAAUAAUUAAAUCUCAAAUUGUACUUGAUUUGGAAUUUCGAGACUAAUCAACAUCUCUGAAUUUUUUGAUUUAGAGAGAGAAACCGUCAUGGAGAGAGAGAGAGAGAGAGAGAGAGAGAGAGAGAGAGAGAGAGAGAGAGAGUGUGUGUUCCAAGCCCAUAACUACAGCCCAUUAUCCUCGGCUCCUACCCGUCUCGCCUGUCGCUGGCUCGCUGCCAGACCCUUGCCGCCGCCGUCGCCGUCGACGUGGCCUCCUCUUCCCCAACACCAUAGCUCCGAUCAGUCUCAGGUCGACGCGCGCGGGCGGCUGGGUCCAGGUUUCUCCGGCCAGGCCUACCCUCCGGCCGCGGCUCGCUUCCACCACGGCAGCAGCAGAAUAUCUUGUGGAACGGGAGAAUAGAGCAGUGAGGUUGUGUUGAUCGAUAGGUUUGGAUCUCGGUUGCGGUUUGUGAUACCAGCAGUGCACACCAAGGAAGAUAUUGCGGGCACCUUGGAAUUUUGUUGGCGAUGGAUGGUAGUAGCUCCAGCAAGAGAAAACCUGAAGCGCAGCAAGACGGCGAGAGCAGCGCCAAGAGGCUCAAUGUCACCGUGGGGCUGGAGUCCCUUGACUGCCCCAUCUGCUUUGUGUCCCUCAGUCCUCCGAUAUUCCAGGUAAAUGCUCUAUGUGUUGGCUUGUCUUUGAACCCGAGGUUUUAUUUCAUUUGUGAUAAAGCUCAACGUAAAAUUAGAGCUUUUAUGGAAGUGAUCUUUCUUUGGACGUAGUGCUACUUGGCAAGGACGUGUUUCAUGUGAAUGUAGCAUAAUAGCUAUGGUAACUCAAACAAUGAACUAUAGAUUACUUACCUAUCUUGUUGUUUUAUUUUUUUCAAAAUUAAAAUAUAUUUAUGUUACAA